GUCACACAUACACAUUUCCUCCGUGCGGCCAGUUUAUCAGCUGUUUGCUUGAGUGAGCUGUACUGGCCGCACGGCACCCUAACUACCAUGGGACACUGUGCGGCCACAGCUCACACAGCCCCCUCCAGCCAGGGCCGGUACAAGGAUUUUUGCCGCCCAAGGCAAAAGUAAAGUUUGCCGCCCCCCAUGUGACAUCACAAUGCCCCAACCAUAUGAUUUGCCAUGUUAACUAAUGCCAGUGCUGCAGUGCCGCCGUGUUUACAUUAAAAGGCCUGCAGGGACAGGCUAUAGACACCAGAACCACUACAUUAAGCUGAAGUGGUUCUGGGGACUAUAGUGUUUCUUUAAUGUGAGGUAAAUUAGAGCUUAGUGCCACGAAUAAUAUACUAGAUUGCCUACUUACAACCAGAUGAGGAUGAUGAUGGGCUCUAGCUGCAGUCUGGCUCCACUGGUCUGGUGCAGAACAGGCUCUCUGGAGGCGGUUUGUAACUGUGGUCACAAAAAUCAAUGUUCUGGGAGAACGGGAAGCAGCUCCAUUUUUUGGGGGUCCUUUACACAGCUCAAGGUCUGGGUCCCAGGGUCCACCUUCAUGUUCCACCAAUGAGUUUGUUCACAGGGGGUGGAGUGUGUAGGGGAUGUCCUGAUAUGUGUGUAAGGAAUGCAUUGUGUGAAAUUGUGUUUGUAUGUGUAAGGACUGCAAGGUGUGUUUCUGUGUAUGUAUGGGAUGCAUUGAAUGUGUGUAAGGGGUGCAUUGAGUGUGUGUAAUGAAUGCAUUGUGUGUUUCUGUGUGUGUAAGGGAUGCAUUGUGUGUAACGGUUGCAUUGCUUGUGUGUUUUUCUGUGUGCAAGGGGUGCAUUGUGUGUAUGUGAUGAAUGUCAAUCUCUCCUCCCGCUCCAAUUUCCU